rnacentral:lncRNA from 1 species
AAGGAGAAAAAAGUUAUAUUUGGAGGCUCCAGUCAAAAGGCUCUCUCUCAGAUUUAAAUUCUUUCUUAGAAAAUUCUCAACGGAUUAAGGUCCAACUCUAGCCCUUUAUCUUAUUUAUUUUGGUCUUACAUAAUGUUAUUUAGAUGCAUAUGAGAUAUGGAUUGAAAUUUGAUAUGAUUUAGUGUCAUGGCUUGUUGAUAUAUUGUUUAAUUUUUAGGAAAAGUAUACAAUUUAAUUUGUAUUUAAUUUUUGGGACAAAUUUAUAAUUUAUUUGGUCUAUUUUUCAUGUUACUCUACGCUUAGAGUUAGAGAUAAAUAUAAUAUACUGGAUUAAAAUAGAUCUUUAGGUGUUUUUAGAAUAGUAUAGUGAAAGAUGAUAAAAAGAAUUGAGUCAAGAUUGAAGGUUGAAUGUCAAAUAAAAAGAGUGCUUUGGGUUUAACAACAUUCAUUAUAUAUAUAUGGUUACACAUCUUUUUGAGAUGCUUAAAAAAAUUUAAGGAUGCGAUGACACACCUUGGCCAUAUUUUUUUAAUGAUUAAUUUUAUUUAGUUAAAUUAAAGACUUAUGGACAAAAUUGUUAGGUGUGACGUGAAGAAGACAUAUAUGCCUCUAAAAUUCAAGAGCAAGAAAGCGAUUACGCAUCUAGGUUGAGACAAAUAAAGUUCAACAAUAAGAUACGGGAGCAAGCCAUAACCUAUAACAAUAUAUCUAAAAAUAAGUAUAAAUCAAUAAAAGCGACCGUGCUAGAACCACGGGACUUGAGGGAUGCCUAAUACUUUCUCCUAGGUCCACAGAAUUCGUUACUCGGUCUUUUGUUUUCGCAGACCAAAAUAAGAGUUAUUUCCUUUUGAUUAGGGAUUCAAAAGGGUGACUUGGAACACCAUUUAUCAAUUUCUAAGUGGUGAUUCCGAAACAAAAUAAAAUAAUCCCUCAAUCAAUAUUGUCACUUAAAUUUGAAAAACCCUUUCACCGCUAUCGAAAAAGGGGUGUGACAUCUCUAUCGACUCUGCUGGGGAAUAACCAAAAUUUGAGUUGUGUUAUAUUAACUUUUACUUGAUUGUAUUAUUUUAUUUUAUUGAUAUAUUGUGUAUGAUGGCCUAAUGUGUUUUUACGGCUCAUUUAUCAUUUUUAUAUUGUUAAAUUGUAAUAAAUUGUCUUCUCUUGCACAUCACAUCUAAGUCUCUGUAAAAUAGGGCAGCGGGGAAUGCGAUAAAAAUGGAGUUUCUUUUCACCCAGUGAAGGAUUUUUAGUCCCACAUGUUAGGUAGGUUUGGAUCAGCAAUGAAGUCGAAAUAGCGCUUCGACCGAUAAGUUGCCCCUCCAAAGCUCUAGUUGUCCACUCGGGUAAGACAGUAUCGACACAUAUCUGCUUUAGGUUUGAACCUAGUAAAACUGAAAUACAGACAUGCUUAUACCUAGUAGGCUCUGCGUAUAUAAUCAUUUUAAUUUGAUUUAGUGGGGCUCCACACAAGGGUCGGGUCUGUCUAGGACAUGAUUCCCUCUUUUGACCAACAUGUGCAUUCUAUGUGUUAUUGGUAAAUAUUAUUUGGAAUGUCUUUUCAAUUUGAAAAUUUUUAGGGUGAUCAAUGACUAAUUUUACAUUAAAAGAAAAAACAAAAAGGAAAAAGAAAGAGGAAAAACACAAAAAAAAUUGUGAUCACAAAAAAAAUAGUUUCUUUUGUUUAGUUUGUGAAAAAAGAAAAUCCAAAAUAUAUUGUUUACAUAAUACUUUGAAAAAUACCACAGUUGAAGUCAAGUUUCGAUAUGUAAAAGUUUUCUUACUAUCCAUUCUUGACGAACUACGCAUACCUAAUUCUCACCUCGAUGAGAUAUGUAGGCAACCUUCCUCGGAAUUGUUGAUCCUUAUUUAAUUUUUUUUUUAAAUAGUAUUUCUUAUAAAAAAGAAUGGUGGGUUUAUGAUCUUCUUGAACUACGUUUGACUUGAUUCUUGCUUUGGCAAGAUACAUAGGCAUCCUUAUUUUGAGGGUCGGUCCAACCAAGGAAAAAUCUAAAAAGUCCUCAUCACAAAAACUGGGGCAAAUAAAAAAGGAGAGAUAAAAAAAAUUGGGAUACGAUAUUUUGUUUAAAGGAUUUUUGUUUAUUUUGAUUUAUUGUUAUUUUAUUUUUUAAAAAAACUCUUGAUUUGGUUGGUACCAACAUAAUUAGGAGUGUGCAUGAGAUAAAAGAAAAGUAUUAAACUAUUUGGCAAGAUAGACAAACUUUGUUGUGACCCAUAGAUUCUUUUGGUACUUGUUGAUAUUAUUUAUAUAAUACUUAAGAAAUUACCUUGCUUAAAGGUAAGGCUAAAACAAAUUCGACCUCAUUGUUUCAUGUGCAGCGUGUGGUGAGCUAUAGAUAUAAAAUUUAAUGGCGUGAUUUUUUUUAUCUAGAACUUGGUCUGAAUGUUGGUUGAGGCGAACUUUUGAGCUACAUUUAACUUUGGAAAUGAUUAUAGGCUUUCUUUGAUGUGAUUGUGUCUUUCAAGCCUACCGAAUGACAUAUUAUCCAUAGAACUCCAAUUUCGAGCCUAAAACCUUUUUAUUUGAAUAAGAGAAAAUACAUAAUUAGCCCAUUCAACUAUAAUCUUUUUCUUAAAAAAGACACUCAAACUAUGAAAAGGUCCUAGUACCCCAUUAUUCUUGUUCAAAGUGGAUUUAUUACCUCCUUUUGGUCAUACGUGGCACGUAGAGUGAAUUUCACUCGCCACUAGCGAGUGAGAUAAGCAAAAAAUAAACUAUUUUAUUUAUUUCAGUAUUAUUUAAUUAGAAAUAUUAGUUUCUUUUUACUCUAUUUAUUUUAUCGUAUUUUUCAAUUAUUCUUGUCGUUUUAUCUUCUUUACCCAGUAGAGUGAGGUUACAAAGGGGACUACUUUCACCUGAGGGAGACAGGAAUUAGUGAGAUUAUUGGAAAGACAAAGAGAUGAAAGUGGAGUGAGGUGGCAGAGAAAGAUCGAAAAAGGCCGGUAAGAAAAGCGUCGAAGAAAUUGGCAGCUACGAUGGAGGCAGAAUCGUUGGGUGUCUUUGAGUUAGAGAGAGAGUUUGAGUUAGGGAGAGAGUUUUAUUCACUGCAACACAUCUUGAUUUUGUGCGAAAAUCAAAAGGCAAAGUACAUAAAAAGAAGAUUAAUCAUGGAGGAAGUAGAAAAUAUUUGCUUCUACAAUUUUUCUUAGCCAUUGCGUUGGUAGGUUUUUAAAAAACAAAAAAAAAUUGAUUGGACGAUAGAAAAUUAAAUGGUUGAAAUGGUGUUGUAGCAGUGGUGCCGGCGGCAGCGAAGAGGAGAAAAAGGUUGGAUUUACAGUCGUCCAACAUACUUGAAUAAUUGAAGAAGAAGAGGGAAUUUUUGUUUUAAAAUAUUAAAUAAGAAAUAAAUGAACAUAAAAAUUUAAAAAAACUGACACGUGGUAGCUAAUAGUUGGUGCGUGUAUGCAUUUUCUUUCUUAUAGGUGAGAUUGACUGAAAAUGUGAUACUUUUACCACUUUUAAAUUAGUUAAGGGGGUAUUAGGACCUUCACAAAGUUUGAGUGUCUUUUUAAAAAAAGUUUUAUAGUUGAAUGGGGUAAUGAUGUAUUUUCUCUUUGAAUAACCAUAUCUUAACAUAUAUUCUUCUGAGUGCAUAAAUGCACUAUACCUUAGUCUCACCUCCUUGAGCGCACUAUCAAUUAUCUACACAGUGCCAAAUAUCUAAGUUGGGUAACAAAGUGAAAAGGUCAAAUAUGUGCAAGUCCAAAAAAAACUGACAAACAAAAGUUAGUAAGAUUUUUUUUUAAAAAAAAACCUCCAACGAAAAGAAGAGAAAACAAAAAAAAUAAAAUAAAAUGAGAAGAAGCUUUCAAGAAAACCAAGGUCAAAUGCGAAAAUGAAAAACAUUUGAGUGCAUAGUGCAAUUUUUAAGAGGAAACAAUCAAUUUAUCCCGAAUGAAUAUCUUAGCUUUCCCUAAGUCUACAUUACCAGCCAAUGACAAGUCUAAUUUGGACUCAUUUUUGGUGUUCUCACAUUAGUGGAUACUUACAUGACGGCCAAGCAUAUAGUAUCUCAAUCGCAUGCAUUGUAAUUCUUUAUGAGUAUGAGUGACUUUGAAAAUGUCCCACAAUCAAAAUUAUUCUAUAGUGUGCAAAAAAAGACUUUCUUUGUGGUAAGGGCACUUGAAACAUCAGUAUAUGAAUAGUUCUUACCCUUAAGUUAUGCAAGAUGAACUGAACUUGUAAAUACUUAAGUAUGUUUGAGUUACCAUUUGAAGCUAAAGGGAUUACUCAAAGUAGACCUCAAAUUUGUCUGAAAGUUGUUGAAAGUGAUUCAUAUGCAUAAUACUAAUUGUUGGUACCAACUAAAGUCAAAACAUUCUCAAAUAUGAAUUGAUUUUUGUCUCUCUUCGUCCUCUAGUAUUCUUUUUUUUUUAAAACUUUUUGUAAGAAACACAAAACAAAAAAAUAAUAUUUGAUCUAUAUGAACUACAUGUUACCUAAUUCUUGCUAUACAUGAUAUGUAGGUUGUCCGACAAUGGAGCUCAGUCACAGAGAAUAAAAUUUUAUAUCAUUGAAGAUCAAAAUGUAAUCAUUUUCUAAAAAAACAUUAAAAAAAUUCAAAAAAUGAUAAAUUAAAAAGAGUUUCAAAGUUCCUCAGUUUCAAAAUUGGGCAUAUUUUUAUUUCUUAUGAAACAAGAUUACUCUAGUUUCUAGGAAACAAACACCCUAGAGGAAUUUUAAUGGACAAACACCCUAUCAUCUUUCAUUUCUAGGGAACAAACACCCAAGAUGCAUUUAGACUUUAGGAAACAAACACACUAGAUGCAUUUAUUUUUUCUUUACUCCUAGGAUAAACACUUCCUAGUUUGAGACCUUUAUUUUUUAUUUUCUCCUAUGAUAAACAUUUCCUAGUCUGAGACAAUUAUUUUUAUUUUUUCCUAUGAUAAGCACUUCCUAGUCUGAGAAUGUUAUUUUUUAUUUUCUCCUAGGAUAAAUACUUACUAGUCUAAUAACUUAUUUUUUAUUUUCUCCUAUGUUAAACACUUCCUAAUCUGACUUUUAAUUUUUAUUUUCUCCUAGGAUAAACACAUUUUAGUCUGAGAUCGUUAUUUUUUAUUUUCUCCUAGGAUAAGCACUUUCGAGUUUGAGAUAGUUAUUUUUUAUUUUCUACUAGGAUAAGCAUUUCUUAGUUUGAGACAUUAUUUUUUAUUUUCUCCUACGGUAAAUACUUCCUAGUCUGAGACGUUAGCUAUAUUUUCUCCUAGGAUAAACAUUCCUAGUCGGUGACUUUUAUUUUUCAUUUUCUCCUAGGAUAAACACUUCCUAGUCUGAUAUCAGUAUAUUUUAUUUUCUCCUAUGAUAAAUACUUCCUAGUCUAAGAUUGUUAUAUUUUAUUUUCUCCUAGGAUAAACACUUCCUAGUCUGAGAUCGUUAUUUUUUAUUUUCUCCUAGGAUAAACACAUUUUAGUCUGAGCUAUUUUUAUUUUCUCCUUGGAUAAACAUUUCCUAGUCGGAGACUUUCAUUUUUCAUUUUCUCCUAGGAUAAACAAUUCCUAGUCUGAGAUCGUUAUUUUUAUUUUCUCCUAGGAUAAACACUUCCUAGUCUGAGAUGUUAUUUUUUAUUUUCUCCUAGGAUAAACACUUCCAAGUCUGAGAAGUUAUUUUUUAUUUUUUCGUAUGAUGAACACUUCCUAGUUAGAGAAGUUAUUUUUAUUUUCUCCUAGGGUAAACACUUCCUAGUCUGAGACCGUUAUUUUUUAAAUUUUUUCCUAAGAUACACUUCCUAGUCUGAGACCGUUAAUUUUUAUUUUCUCCUAGGAUAAACACUUCUUAGUUUGAGAAGUGAUUUUUCAUUUUCACCUAGGAUAAACACUUCCUAGUAUGAGACCAUUAUUUUUUAUUUUCUCCUAUGAUAAACACUUCCUAGUCUGAGACCUUUAUCUUUUAUUUUCUCCUAAGAUAAACACUUCCUAGUCUGAGACUGUUAUUUUUAUUUUCUUAGAGGAUAAAUACUUCCUAGUCUCAGAUGUUAUUUUUUAUGUUCUCCUAUGAUAAACACUUCCUAGUCAGACACGUUAUUUUUAUUUUCUCCUAAGAUAAGCACUUCCUUGUUUGAGUUUAUUUUUUAAAAUUAACAUUUGCUAAUAACUCACAAAAAAAUUUCUAUGAAAACUUGUAACACCCCAUAUCUAAAAAAGGGAAAAGAAUCAAAUUUUGGGAUUUGUAGGGCCAACCAUGGAGGCCACCCAUUGCCGUGGAUGGGACCACGGACCGUAGAUGCGGUCCGUGGAUGGCCCUGCCUAAGGGUGGUGUUGAGGCUCAGGACCAUGGCCUGACCUACGGACCGUAGGUCAUACCACGGUCCGUGGUUCGAAGGCCCAAAUUCGAACUUUCUGAACCUAACAACGGUUGACCAGGACGAACCGUAGAUCAGACCACAGUCCGUCUACUGGGUCCAUCGGUGGCAGCUGGCAGUUAUAUUUUAGGAGUAGUUGGGUCUUAUACUAAUUAAUUAGUUCCUAUACUACGUCAGUUUACCCUUAAGUAAGACCCCUAUUUAAGUAUUUUCAACACCCAAAUUAACCCAUUCACUUCAUUCUUCCAAAUUCACAAAAGAAAACCAAAUCUCCUCUCCAAAUAUUUCUCUCUCUAGAACUUGAAGAAGAAGAAGGAUUUACCUAGGGUUCCAAGGCAAGGUCUCAAUUCCUCCAUUGAAGUCUAGCAUUUGGAUUCAAGGUAUGAUCCAAAAUUCCUCUAUUUCAAAAGGUAGAAUUCUCCAAUUGAGUUAGGGUUUUCUUCAAUUGUCAUGGGUUCUUUUCAUUAUUGAUUUAAAUAAUUGAAUUAUGAUCUUCUAUGCAUGAAUUGAUAAAAUACUAUGGUUUUAUGAUGUUUUACCCUAUGAACCCAUAUAAUCCCCAUGUUUUCAAGUUAUGAAUAAUAUGAUGUGGGAUUUUGAGUAUGAUACAAAAGUUUUAUGAAAUUAAACAUGUAUUGCAAGUUUUACAUGAAUAUAUAAUGAAAUUCAUAUCUAACAUAUAUUUUCUAAGCAUUGAUUAUUGAAAGUGAGUUUUGAACCUCAAGAGGUAAAUAAUGGACUUAUGCAUUUUCUUAUGAUAUCUAUGCAAAUAUUUUAAGGGUGCUUUGAGAGUAAAGUACCAAUGAUGAUGUUGUUGUUGUGUUGUUGAAAGGACAUUCUCAUAAACACAUACUAUUAUAAUGUGAAAGGUUUUCUCACAUAUAAAGGAUUCUUAGGUUGAAAGGCUUUCUAACCUAAUUGAAUCAAAGAGUAAGAGUUAUCCUAAUGAACUAGCUUAAAUUGGUUGUCCAAGGGCACCUUUCCAUGGAUGAUGAGAUAAGUCAAGACUUAAUAACUAUUCCAUGGGAUUUAUGCUUAGCACUGAGUGGAUAUUGAUUUGAGAUGGAAGCUCUCCCGUUAGUAGAGGCCGGGUUUAUAGAAGAAAUCUCUUGAGAUGGAAGCUAUCCCAUUAGUAGAGGUCGGGUUUAUAGUAGCAAUCUCCUUAUCCCUUAACUAUAUUCCCCCAUAGAUUUAUUAGCUAGUGGAUCCACUUAAGCUAGACGUUCAUGGUCUACCUUGGAAAGUAGGACAACCCUUUUUGGUGUGGGAGACACCGGGGGAUCAUGUUAUAGAUCACAUCGUCUCUAUAUUGGUUAAGGCUAAUUCCCCACAUUAAUAAUGAACUAAGGUUACUCAAGGAGUAUCUCAUAUUUGUUCAAAGGUUUUAAAGAAGAUGUUAGCUUGCAUUGACCUUUUUUAUGAAGUAUGUUUUCUAACUCUCUUAUAUUAUGUUGAAGUUUGGUCAAUUGCAUACCUAUGAAAUGAAAUGUCCCUUUUUAGCAUGUUUUAAAUGUUUUAUGCAUGGCUAUCAUACUUGGUAUAUUGUACUAAUGCAUACUCUUGCCUAAAUUUCCCCAAAUGUAGGCUUCGGCAGUCAGUUUCCAAGUUUCGUGGCUAGUGGUUGAGUUCGAGAAUUAUGAGCUUUGGUGAGUCCUCAUGAUUCUAGGACGAAGUUUUAUUGAUUCACUUUCUUUCAUGUAUUUAUCGUAUGGACAUGAUGUGUGGGCUAGACCCAAUUCAUUCUAUUGUAUUAGAUGGCUAUGAUGAGACAAAUGUUUUAGACUUCCGCUUUUCUUUUAUAAAAACUAAUGGACAUG